rnacentral:rRNA from 1 species
AAAUUGAAGAGUUUGAUCAUGGCUCAGAUUGAACGCUGGCGGCAGGCCUAACACAUGCAAGUCGAACGGUAACAGGAAGAAGCUUGCUGCUUCGCUGACGAGUGGCGGACGGGUGAGUAAUGUCUGGGAAACUGCCUGAUGGAGGGGGAUAACUACUGGAAACGGUAGCUAAUACCGCAUAACGUCGCAAGACCAAAGAGGGGGACCUUCGGGCCUCUUGCCAUCGGAUGUGCCCAGAUGGGAUUAGCUUGUUGGUGGGGUAACGGCUCACCAAGGCGACGAUCCCUAGCUGGUCUGAGAGGAUGACCAGCCACACUGGAACUGAGACACGGUCCAGACUCCUACGGGAGGCAGCAGUGGGGAAUAUUGCACAAUGGGCGCAAGCCUGAUGCAGCCAUGCCGCGUGUAUGAAGAAGGCCUUCGGGUUGUAAAGUACUUUCAGCGGGGAGGAAGGGAGUAAAGUUAAUACCUUUACUCAUUGACGUUACCCGCAGAAGAAGCACCGGCUAACUCCGUGCCAGCAGCCGCGGUAAUACGGAGGGUGCAAGCGUUAAUCGGAAUUACUGGGCGUAAAGCGCACGCAGGCGGUUUGUUAAGUCAGAUGUGAAAUCCCCGGGCUCAACCUGGGAACUGCAUCUGAUACUGGCAAGCUUGAGUCUCGUAGAGGGGGGUAGAAUUCCAGGUGUAGCGGUGAAAUGCGUAGAGAUCUGGAGGAAUACCGGUGGCGAAGGCGGCCCCCUGGACGAAGACUGACGCUCAGGUGCGAAAGCGUGGGGAGCAAACAGGAUUAGAUACCCUGGUAGUCCACGCCGUAAACGAUGUCGACUUGGAGGUUGUGCCCUUGAGGCGUGGCUUCCGGAGCUAACGCGUUAAGUCGACCGCCUGGGGAGUACGGCCGCAAGGUUAAAACUCAAAUGAAUUGACGGGGGCCCGCACAAGCGGUGGAGCAUGUGGUUUAAUUCGAUGCAACGCGAAGAACCUUACCUGGUCUUGACAUCCACAGAACUUUCCAGAGAUGGAUUGGUGCCUUCGGGAACUGUGAGACAGGUGCUGCAUGGCUGUCGUCAGCUCGUGUUGUGAAAUGUUGGGUUAAGUCCCGCAACGAGCGCAACCCUUAUCCUUUGUUGCCAGCGGUCCGGCCGGGAACUCAAAGGAGACUGCCAGUGAUAAACUGGAGGAAGGUGGGGAUGACGUCAAGUCAUCAUGGCCCUUACGACCAGGGCUACACACGUGCUACAAUGGCGCAUACAAAGAGAAGCGACCUCGCGAGAGCAAGCGGACCUCAUAAAGUGCGUCGUAGUCCGGAUUGGAGUCUGCAACUCGACUCCAUGAAGUCGGAAUCGCUAGUAAUCGUGGAUCAGAAUGCCACGGUGAAUACGUUCCCGGGCCUUGUACACACCGCCCGUCACACCAUGGGAGUGGGUUGCAAAAGAAGUAGGUAGCUUAACCUUCGGGAGGGCGCUUACCACUUUGUGAUUCAUGACUGGGGUGAAGUCGUAACAAGGUAACCGUAGGGGAACCUGCGGUUGGAUCACCUCCUUACCUUAAAGAAGC